CUCUGGGGUACGGCUGAGGUCGUCUUUUGCUCUGACUGGCUCCCUUUUCUCUCAGCUGUGUGUGUAAAACAUGGGGAGGAGGAGGGGGGAAAAAAAGGAAAACAAAACUCACAACACGCACUGGCGGGUGGCAACACUCGGCCAAUCGCAAUCGAGUGUGUGCGGAGCCUCGGCCAAUGGGAGAGCAGGAGACGCGUGAACAGUGCGUGCUCGCUGCACGGUUGGAGGAAACGGGGUGCGUGGCCGUUGGUGGGCGGGGCCGAGGGAGUCAGCAGUGUCAGGGUAAACCCGAUGAACUGCCAUCCGCUAAACUGGGCGAAAGGUCGAUCCAGUCUAUGCGGCGUUCAGAGGCUGCGGGGAAAAAACAGCUGCACAACCACCUGAUGACACACGGAGCAUUUUAAGUGACACCCUUGUAUCACUUUAACACAAUGCAAGCUACACAGCAUCGUAAAUCUGGGUCAUUAAUAUAUGUUAUACAAUUAUAUAAUGCGUUUCUUGAAGAGAAAUCACAGAAGUGGAGCUUUGCCUGCAGUGCAGCGGGGGAGUGUGGCAGGUGUGUCGGCCCAGCCCUGGCAGCACCUCGCCACUAAGGAAGGCCGUGCCUCGCUGUGACUCACACCACAGAUGACCCGUACUAUGAGCCGUCUCCAGCAGUCCACUCUGCACUGUAGGAUGCUUUGUGUACCACACAACGUGCGACUCCACCCCCGUCUCCUCCUACACAUUAGAAUGGAGCAACAGGGAUUUCUCUCCCAGCGCCUGGCUCCUGAUUGGUCGGAGCGGGAUUCUGAAGCCAAUCUGUUGCUAUGAGAAACUGAGUCCUGUGCUGCAACUCGCUGUCUGUCGUCCUGGCAACAUGAGGAACAGGAGGCAGGUUUGAGGGCUCCCUGGAGGAGCUUCCCUGGAGAUGGUCUGAGGAUGUGUGGUGCUUAAUGAUAAAGGCUCCGUGAUGUUAUUAAAUGAUACACUUC